rnacentral:tRNA from 1 species
UCUGCAUUAGUUUAACUGGAAAAACAAAUACCUCGUAAGUAUUAGUCAGCUGUUCAAAUCGGCUAUGCAGAUCCA